UAAACUCAAUACAUAGUUUCUUCCAAAAAUUAUAUAAAAAAAAAAUACCAUUUUAUUCAGUUUACCAUCACAUCAAUAUUGCUUAACGUUAUUGCGUUAAGCUAGUGGUAAUUUUAUCAAAAAAUUAUACACACAAUCAAUUUUAUCAAUGUAAACAGUAGGAAAGAUUGCGCCUUAAUAGAUAUAAUUAUAAGGAUAUAUGAAUGACUUGCCAACGAUUUAGAUUAAACGAUAUGCCAAACGAUUAUAACCGGCGAUGAUCGCAGUCGCAUGGUAAGAUAACCUAUAAAAUUAUCUCAGAUCAUCAGACAAGGAAAAGCCGCAUCUUAUUUCCACAACACGGAUAGAAACAAGAUACGAGACCUGACAGGCAGCGCUAUGCCCAAAACACAGAGGAAGAAUGACUGACAGAGACAGCUCACAGCAGCUUGCUACCGAGCUUUGCCACAGAUAAUGUGAAUCGACAAACGAGAUGAUAAUACCUACAUCUGGGUCCAGGCAUGGCCUUGGCGGGCCUUUGGGUUGUAUCGGUUUUUAUGAUUCCCUAUAAAAUGCUUAACAGCUUGCCAAAAUUAACUUUUCUCCUCUAAAAUUUCCUUUAAUAUUAAAUAGACGUUCUUACCAAUAAAUGUAGCAGAGUUCAGCCUUUGCCAUAGUUUUCAGUUAACCAGAAGGUCUGAA